GCUUCAGACCCCGGAUCGGACUUCUAAUCCGCCGGUCACAGGUUCGAAUCCUGUCGGGGGCA
rnacentral:tRNA from 1 species